ensembl:lncRNA
UAUAGGAAAAAAUCUGCUCUCUGGGAGCAGGGUUGGAGACUCCUUCAAUAGAUUAAUAGUGUCUGUCACCUAGACCUUAAAAAUUGUAUGCAAAUAUAAAUAAGCAUGGUGCAAGAAAAAAAAAAUCAGAAAGAGGAUGUCAAUCAAGUGUCAAUAAAGUCUUAGGAGGAAUGGAGAGAAGAGGACAUUAACCAUAAACCUUGCCGCAGCUCCUCCAGCUUAUUGACAUAGCCUGUAUAUGAAAGAAAAUCUAAGCUCAAGUCCAUGACAUCUUUUGCCAGUUCAAGUGAUUUUCAGAGAACAGGCUGAUCCUUCCAGCUUGCCGUCAUGAAAACGGGGUUGACUUUGACUGAAAACAGCAUCAAUGGCCCCUGCUUUUUUCCUGACGAAAGUGGUGUCUAGUGAAGUGUUAACAGUCCUGACACUGCUAGUUUUAUGUGUGUCUUGGCAUGUCUUCCUGUGAGUCAAACCCCUGACGCAUAUUUUGUGAUAAAUAAAUAAAGCCAGUGGAGAGGAACAAAUACCGACUCCAAAUAGAAGCUGACAGCUCACAAGCUAGUAGAUGGAGCCCUCUCUCUUUUCUGCUGACUACUACAGGCAGAUGGGAGCAGCACACAGAGUCUUGAAUGAGUUUUCCAGGGCCUUCUGUCCCACUCAUAGGACCAAAACAGGCCCCAGGAGACUGCCAUGCUGCUAUUAAGUGGCCUUCAAUAAGACAACAAGCCAUUCAUGUAGAGAUGAGCACUCCUUCUGGGGAAGGUGAAGGGUUUAAGAGCAGAGAUGGAUGUUUUAAAUAAUAAUGACUUACUUUUAGGGCUUAUCGCUCCAUAUUUUCCCUCUUCUCCCAUUCCCUGUGGGAGGGUGCUCAUGGUUAAGCAUGAUGAUUGAUAAUCUAAUAUCGCUGGCAAUCUUCUUGCAUGCUUUAGGACUAAUUGCAAAUCUGUCAUAGAGAUCUUGUGCCUAAACUCACCAUUUUUACAAACCUGUCAAAAAGUGAGAAGCACUACAUUACACAGAUGAUUAGUUAUAAUUCCCCCGUUGAAAGAGGAGACCUCAGGCGGACUCCAUAAUCUACACUCAACACCC